AUCCAGGGCGGCAGAACCCCGCCCCAGGCACGCCUCGUCCUCCCAGACCACUCCUGCUUCCCCCAAAGCUCCGCCUCAAAGAGACGCGCCCCUCAAAGGCACCACCCAUUCCUGCGGAGGCCUCUCCAAGGUUUCCCAGGCAGCUGUGGUUCUCCCAGCAGACUGUGCCUGGCCUCUUCGGGAACCACUUUUGCCCAACUCUUGAAGCCAGUUCUUCCAGCACCGCAUCCCGAUCCUGCUCCCAUGACAAGUGUCCUGAACUCGGCCCGAUGUAGAGAGUCUGAAUGGGGCAUCAAGGGUCAAGGGCAUCUGGGGGCAGGCACUUCAGUGGAUUGUGUUUUUUCGAAACUUGCCUCAAAGACCAGAGGAAAGCGGUUUACCUUAUUGUAUGUGCAGUGCUUUGGCUGCGCAUGUUGUAUGUGCUGCGUUCAUGAAGUGCCCAUUGAGGCCAGAAGCAAGUCGGCAGUUACAGGCAGUUGUGACCCUCCAUGAUGGUUCUGAGAAUGGAACCUGAGUCCUCUGGAAGAGCAGAAAGUGCUUUGAGCUGUUGUGGUGGCUUGAAUAUGCUUGGCCCAGGAAAGGAGAUGUGGCCUUAUUGGAGGAAGUGUGUCACUGGGGGGUGGGCAAUGAGACCCUUCUCCCAGCUACCACAUGGAAGCCAGUCUUCUCUUAGUGGCCUUCAGAUGAAGGUGUAGAACUCUCAGUUCCUCCUGCACCAUGCCUGCCUGGAUGUUACCAUGCUCCUGCCUUGAUGAUAAUGGACUGAACCUCUGAACCUGCUCCCAACCUCUGUGACUGGGAAGACAAGAAGAAAGCAAAUGGUACCAUCGGGCCUUGAUGGCGCUGCUUUGAAAUUUGACUUAGAGGAGUGAAUUGAGGGUGCCACAGAGCACAGCUUCUUCCAGAGAAAUCUGAUUGUGACUUUGAAUGUCAUUGGUCUGGAGCCUUGUUACCUGAAUUCCAGACCUUAUUUUCUGAAGACCAGCCAGUGGGCGUGUAUGUCUGAGAGUGGAGUUGGCACACCUAUCUGUACUUCCUGGAUCCUGAGAUUAUUAGUGUGAGCUGCCACAUCCAGUCUUCAGGACCUUCAAAACAGAUGUCUGAGGGGUCUGCACUUUUUGCAUCUUUGCUGAUCCCAAGGCAAUCCUGUAUCGAAGAAGGCCCAGCUCCUUCUGUGUCUACAACAGUUAAAUGUGCCAAUGUGCCAGAUCCCUGGGCAACGCAGGAAUUAGGUGCUUUCUGCCCAUCCAGCGUCUCAGGCCUGGUGUGGGAGGGAAGUCACCCAUGUGUUUUGCUGUGAAGUCACAUGUGUUCCCACUGUGGGCUCCCACCCCAGCCUCCACACAAGAAAACCUGCAGGGGCUCGCUCAGCUGGGUAACAUACACCUCUCUCACUCUUGUUGCCCCCACUCUGCUCUGCGUUGGGUGGCUCCCUGCCCUUUUGGGUUUGUCAAGCAACUCCUCCUGAGCCUGGCUAGUCAAGGACACCAGGCAAACUGAGUGAGGGAAAGAGGUCAAGCACUGGAGUGCCCUGCCACAAUCUGUCCUUCAUGUCACCAGGAAAAAGGAACGACUCGUAUGUUGGCAGCUGGACAAGAAGUCAUGUCUGACCUGUAGGAAAUAAAGCAGCCAGAACCUGGUUAAUACCUGGCAUUCAGCCUUUAGUGUUUUCUGUGAGGUCUCC
rnacentral:lncRNA from 1 species